CAGUCGAACGGAGCUUAGAGAGCUUGCUUUUUAAGCUUAGUGGCGAACGGGUGACUAACGCGUGAGUAACCUGCCCUAGAGUGGGGGACAACAGUUGGAAACGACUGCUAAUACCGCAUAAGCCCACGGUACCGCAUGGCACUGAGGGAAAAGGAUUUAUUCGCUUUAGGAUGGACUCGCGUCCAAUUAGCUAGUUGGUGAGGUAACGGCCCACCAAGGCGACGAUUGGUAGCCGGACUGAGAGGUUGAACGGCCACAUUGGGACUGAGACACGGCCCAGACUCCUACGGGAGGCAGCAGUGGGGGAUAUUGCACAAUGGGGGAAACCCUGAUGCAGCGACGCCGCGUGGAGGAAGAAGGUUUUCGGAUUGUAAACUCCUGUCGUUAGGGACGAUAAUGACGGUACCUAACAAGAAAGCACCGGCUAACUACGUGCCAGCAGCCGCGGUAAAACGUAGGGUGCAAGCGUUGUCCGGAAUUACUGGGUGUAAAGGGAGCGCAGGCGGGAAGACAAGUUGGAAGUGAAAACCAUGGGCUCAACCCAUGAAUUGCUUUCAAAACUGUUUUUCUUGAGUAGUGCAGAGGUAGAUGGAAUUCCCGGUGUAGCGGUGGAAUGCGUAGAUAUCGGGAGGAACACCAGUGGCGAAGGCGGUCUACUGGGCACCAACUGACGCUGAGGCUCGAAAGCAUGGGUAGCAAACAGGAUUAGAUACCCUGGUAGUCCAUGCCGUAAACGAUGAUUACUAGGUGUUGGGGGAUUGACCCCCUCAGUGCCGCAGUUAACACAAUAAGUAAUCCACCU
rnacentral:rRNA from 1 species